UACAGAGGUCUCAAGCGUUGUUCGGAUUCAUUGGGCGUAAAGGGUGCGUAGGCGGCGCGGUAAGUCGGGUGUGAAAUUUCGAGGCUUAACUUCGAAACUGCAUUCGAUACUGCGGUGCUUGAGGACUGGAGAGGAGACUGGAAUUCAUGGUGUAGCAGUGAAAUGCGUAGAGAUCAUGAGGAAGACCAGUGGCGAAGGCGGGUCUCUGGGACAGUUCCUGACACUGAGGCACGAAGGCCAGGGGGGAGCAAACGGG
rnacentral:rRNA from 1 species